UGUGCUGCUGCCCAUGGGGUCACAGAGAGUCAGACAUGACUGAGCUACUGCAUUGACUGAAGAACUUAGCGACCUCGCUGUUGAAGAAAGAGAUUAGGAAAAGCGUCUGCUCUCCUCAAGACUGAAGAGUGUCAGAAAGCAGGAGGCGGUGUGAAACCACGUGGGACCCUUCGAGGCUCCAGGGCAUGAAAAGCUUUCUGUGUCCCCCUUUUCUUGACCUUCCCUUCCAAAGGGUAGGCUCAAACAGGUGUGAAUCAGGGAAGGGAGGCAGGGUGCAGAGACAAAGGAGGAGCAGCCAAAAAACCAAUAGUGCAGCCUGGGCUUUUCCUCAGCUUUCUGGUUUUGCCUCAAGGGGUAGAUGUAACAAUGUCUUUGGGCUCCUUACAGAACUCAAACCCCCAACAAAUGAAGAUGUUAGCCCGACAAGCUUCCUUCUUUCCAGAGAGGAUCGGUUUGGUAACCCUGAGAACCAGAGACGCUCAUCAGGGGACCACCAGAGGCCAGGUUAAAGGAGGCAGGCCCUGCACACACCCUAGCUCUCCGCACAGACGCACACUUGAUCCACUGCUGCGAAACUCCUCACCAAACGCCUCGGGGUCAGGACACAGGGUUUUGAGGGCACAGCCCUGCCGUGUCCCCCUUUGCUUGGUAAAGCAAUAAACUGUUCUUUUCUACUUCAUCCAAAA